rnacentral:rRNA from 1 species
UACGUAGGUGGCAAGCGUUGUCCGGAUUUAUUGGGUUUAAAGGGUGCGUAGGCGGCCCUAUAAGUCAGUGCUGAAAUAUCCCGGCUUAACCGGGAGGGUGGCAUUGAUACUGUAGGGCUUGAGUAAAGUUGAGGUUGGCGGAAUUGACGGUGUAGCGGUGAAAUGCUUAGAUAUCGUCAAGAACACCUAUUGCGAAGGCAGCUAACUAGCUUUCAACUGACGCUGAGGCACGAAAGUGUGGGGAUCAAACAGGAUUGAUGAA